CAGAGCCUUGGGCACCGGAGGGAACAGGGUGCCUGGAGCCCCGCUGGCUGUGCACCCACGACCAGUGCUGGCUGGUGGGGCACAGCUGGACGAGCCUCCUCCCAGGAAGGGAGCACAUGUUUCCUGCCGGUUUUGCUGCUGAAGCAGAUGCACAGCUUAUGCUCAGGACGGAGAAGGAGCCCCUGCUGGGAGGGCUGUUCAGGUCCUUCUGGCCUUGGUCACAGCAGAGCCCUCCUGGGCUCUUGGGAAGAGCCUUAAAGAUGCCCCGGGAAUCAGUGCUGUCAGACUGGCUGCCACAGAGGACACAGCAGGGAGGGCCCCAGGCCGCUGGGGCUGCAUAGGAAUGUGCUGGAACAAGGAACCACAGGAGAAUCUCCUACUGCAUUGUGGGAUGGAGACAUUUUUAUUACAUCCAUUAAAGGGCCUAGGCAGGAGGUGGCCUCUGUGGGGCCUCAAAGGAACCAGAUGGACGCACCAUGAAAGCUCAAGGCUGUGGAUUCCAAGAGACUUCUCGGACCCACUGACAUAGGGGGGCCGAGAGAGGAGUAUUCUGAUUGGCACACCCAGGGGACCGAGAGGGGAGUUUUCCACUUGGUCCACACAGUUUGUGUAUGAAGCCCAGAAGGCCAAGGGGAUCAAUCAGAAUUUGACUCCUUUGGUCCAGGGGGUUUCACUGGUGGCAACAGUGUAUCCCCUUUAGGUAGACGGGAAGACUGGGUCACGUCUCUUCUUGUUGGACGGACUCCAGAGUAUACAUGGCACCAGCACAGGGCUUCCUGACAUUUCUAAGCCUUUCCACCUGUUUGUGGAUGAAAGUAAAGGCGUGGCCAAGGGUGUGCUGAACCAGAAGCUAGGACCCUGGAAACCGCCAGUGGCUUACUUGUCCAAAUGGUUGGACACAAUAGUGGCCGGAUGGCCCCCCCUGUUUAAGGACAGUGGCUGCAGUGCCGUCUUUAGUUAAUGAUGCCGGCAAAUUGACUCUGGGACAAGCUCUUGCCAUGACCACCCCUCAUGCAAUCGAGAGGGUUCUAAAACAACCACCUGACCAGUGGCUCAGCAAUGCCCAAAUAACUCAUUACGAGACACUGCUACUCAAUCCGGAUAGAAUUCUUUCCAGGCUCCUUCUUCACUUAAUCUGGCCAUGGUCCUACCCAAUCCCGAUGCAGAGCCCCCCACAUCAUGAUUAUGCUGAGAUCCUGGCCCAGGUACACUGCUUCGAGGAGACCUGAUGGAUGUGCCUCUUCAAAACACAGACCAUACCUGGUUUACACAUGGGAGUAGCUUCAUUUGGAAUGGAAAAAGAAAAGCAGGUGUGGCUGUGACUACCAACAAUAAGGUAAUUUGGGCCCAACCCUUACCUCCAGGGAAUUCAGCCCAGUGGGCUGAGUUAAUUGCACUAAACAAAGCACUAACUUUGGGCAAAGACUUAAGAGUCUACAUCUAUACAGACAGCAGGUACGCUUUUGCAAUGGCCCAUGUGCAUGGAGCUAUUUUCAAGAAAGGGGUCUCCUGACUUCAGAGGGAAAGACUAUUAAAAACAAACAAGAAAUCAUGGACCUGCUACAGGCCCCAUGGCUACCAAAAAGAGUGGCCAUUAUUAACUGCCAUGGUCACCAGAAAGAAGAUCACCCCGUUGCCAAGAUAAUCAACCUGGUUGAUAAAACAGCCAAGGGAACAGCCCUCGAACCCAUCGAUGCCUUGCCUGUAGUUCUCCCAGACCCCGGGGACCCCAACCUACUUGAGAAUCCAAAAUAUACUGAGGAGGAAGCCAAAUGGGCCCAAGGACAACCCAUGAGCAAAUUCUUCAAAGGAUGGUGGAGGGACUCAGAUGAGAAAUUAAUCCUCCCUGAAGCCUAGGCAGAAAAGAUACUACAUAAAAUACACCGGACCACCCAUAUGGGGGCGAAGAGAAUGCUGGAUGUGGUCUGACAAUCUGAGGUAACCACCAAGGACUUACACAUCAAGAUUAAAGAAAUUGUUCCCUCGUGCAAGACAUGCCAACUCACUAAUGCCAAUCCAAAUCCCAAAAGCCCGGGCCAACACCUUCGAGGUAGGAGGCCAGGGGCCUACUGGGAAAUUGACUUCACUGAAGUAAAACCAGGCAAGUAUGGCUAUAAAUAUCUAUUAGUCUUUAUAGAUACUUUCUCAGGAUGGAGUGAGGCCUUUCCUACCAAGAGCGAGACAGCCACUAUUGUGGCAAAGAAAUUAUGGGAAGAGAUGCUGCCAAAGUAUGGUUUUCCUCAGCUCAUAGGGUCAGAUAACGGACCAGUGUUCAUGUCUAAGGUAAGUCAGGGAAUCACACAGUUCAUUGGGGCAUAUUGGAAAUUACAUUGUGCAUAAUGACCCCAAAGUUUAGGACAGGUAGAAAGAAUGAAUAGAACUCUAAAAGAGACCUUAACUAAAUUGACCUUAGAGACUGGCGGAGACUGGGUAGCCCUCCUUCCCUUCGCCCUGUAUCGGGUGUGAAACUCUCCCUACCAAAUGGGUAUAACUCCCUUUGAAAUUAUGUAUGGAAAACCUGCCCCUAUUAUCCCAAACCUCCAGGCAGCAGCCCUAAUGGACAUAGAGGAAAACAAACUGUUGCAGGAAAUCUGAGCUAAUCAAUGGUCUCACGAACUUGUAUGGCAAAAAUUAUGUGCUCUCUAUGAAUUAAGUCCACCUCCAGAGCCUCACCGGUACUGGCCUGGUGACUGGGUCUAUGUCAAACGCCAUCAGCAAGAAAAUCUUGAGCCGAGGUGGAAAGGACCUUACAACAUUCUGUGGACCACUCCAACUGCCUCAAAAGUGUAUGGAAUAGCAGCCUGGAUUCACUACACUUAUGUGAGACUAGCAGAAUAACUCAUUACCAGACACUGCUACUCAACCAGGAUAGAAUUCUUUUCCAGCCUCCUCUUCACUUAAUCCGGCCAUGCUCCUACCCAAUCCCAGUGCAGACUCCCUGCUUCAUGAUUGUGCUGAGAUCCUGGCCCAGGUACACUGCUUCUGAGGAGACCUGACGGAUGUGCCUCUUUAAAACGUGGAUCAUAAGACCAUAUGUCCCUAAAGGCUGCAUCAACCCAGAAGGGCAACAAUGGAAGUUGCGCCCAGACAAAAGAAACACACUCAAGCUGCGACUCUUCCACCGAACAUCAGAUUGGCUGCUAUAGCAAUACUGCUCCAGACUUUAGGUUGUGUCACGGAACGUGUUUCUUCGUCAAGCGAAGUAGUAGAGAGGACUUCUAUUAGGUUAGUACUAAAAUAGGUAGAAAUAGCCAGAGCUAAAAUCUGCAUUAUAAAAAUUAUAGUUUUGUAAGUCUUGUCAGAAACAUUGCUGGUCCUUUAAUGUUUAC